AAUGUAAGACAAAACAUACAAAAGAAACAAAAGUCACAACAGCAUAUAACAGAUUGCUGACGAAAAAUUGAGAUUUGGUAGUAGCAGUGGAGAGAACAACACACAAAGAAUCAAUGUUGUACACACAAUAGCAUUGCAUCGGAACAACGUCACAACGACGACAACAUGGCGGCGCAAACGGAUAAACGAAAACUGUAUCAACAGCAACAAGAAAUCACAUUGGGGUAACAAUUGUCAUAUUUUGCAUAGUAGCUAACGCAUUCGCUGUUCAAUAUCGGCCACUGUCAACGACAAACCGAUUUAAAUGUGUUGGUGUGACAGUGUAUUUGAUUGCGACAUUUCAAACCAACAAGUCGGCAACAAGUCACAUCGUCUUGAACCAUCAUCAGUGUAAGAACUAAAAUUGCUGCGCAUAAAUUUUCAGUUUGCAUUGAAAGUGAAAUAUUCUCUCGAAUUGGAUUUUUGUCGGUUUUUCCAAAAAAAAGUGUUCGGAACAACAAAUCGAACACAUCAAAUGUCGAAGAAGAAUAUGGACACAUUUUUAGUUCUUACACUGGUAAUCGUUCACAAACCGACCACAACGAUGUCAGAACCCGGAAAAUAUGAAUACAAAGGAUCGUUUCUAUUUUGCCCAAACUACGAACCGGUCCGCAAUCGUAUUCUUUCCGGCAACAGAAGUUAACUUUAGCAUAAAGUUAAAGAAAUGUAUCUGCGGUCGUUCCCGGGGGGGUAGUGACCAGCAGACCCAGAAGUACUAUUCUAUAGUAAAAGCGUUAACUUUCAAUGUUUAGAAUUCCACGAAUGCGACUCGCCUAUUUGAUCACCAAAAUAAACCAUAAACAAAUCGUUGUCAAACCGAACUGUCAAAACAUAAACCCAUUUUGGGCUGCGUUCCAUGGCUGUACGUUAAUAUGGUAAACAAAAAGUGGAGCAAACGCAGAUUGUAUUGGAUUAGUGACAUAACCCUAGCGAAUGUUAAAAUCAAUACAAAAUAAAAUCUUUCUAUUCGGAUCGUUCCAUACAAACUCACCAGAACGUAAACAUUUACAUAUGAAGCUGAGCUGUUGUAAACGUUGGUGUGGUUUGUGGUUUAUAACAAUCUGGAAUAUUAACUGUAUGCUCAGUUGAGAAUACGCAUUUGUCUCGAAUGGACACGCGUUUGAUUUUACUCUUGAUUAUUUCGCAAUUAACUAAACAAUGAUUCGAGCGACAGUGGUUUUAGUGGGCAUUCUCAUGGUGUUGCAAUCGAGCGAUGCCAUAAAAUGUUAUGACUGCAAUUCAUUGAAUAAUUCCGGUUGUAGCGAUGAGUUUAGAAAUUUUUCUACUCGCAUUUUGGAUUGUGCGCAACAUCAGCAACAACAGUAUGAUUUAAGACCCAUCGAAAAUUGCCGCAAAAUUAAAUACAAAGAAAAUGGUGCUUGGAUCUAUAUACGUGGAUGCGAUUCUAAAGACAAUUCACAAAUUAAAAACGCGGAAUAUCAUUAUUGCAAAGAAAGUCUUUGCAAUUCGGCAGACAUUCAUCGACCAACUAUACUGUUUACGCUAAUGUUUAUAUCGUUCUUAUUCAUUAAGUUAAUGCGUUUUUAUUAAACUAAUCUAAUUCGGCAACUGUGAAAUUUAAAUAAAUUGUUUUGUUUUGUGACCAAAAUUUAAAGUACCAAAUAUGAAAAGAACCAAAAAAAAAAAAUCGAGGCGUCUUAAUUUACAUAAAUACAUUCUAAAGUAAACAGCUAUCUUUAAAUUACUGAUGCAAAGUUAACAUGAUCGUACUAAAAAUGUGGACGUUGUUGUAUUCUUGUGGUCGAGUCCGCACGCUUGUGUAACAUCGGUUUCUGUUUUCUCAUUCUUUCAUAUUUAUAACAACUUUGUUUUGUUUACACAUUACACUGCUAGAAAGCCGAUAGAUUGAUACAGUGUACGAUCGGAACGUUCUUCCAAGGUUGAAGAGAGAUUUUUAAAAGUCGUACACUGCAUUUGAACAACAACAACAAGACACACACCAAACCGGUCACAAACUCUUAAAUCAAAUAAGUGCCGCGUCGAGAAAUGUGUUACAAAAACAAGUUUCCAUUUUUUUUUCUAUAUUUUUGCAAAUAGAGGUUUUAACAGACGAAUAAAAAUAAUGACACAACAUCUUUAUUUGGAUAUUAUUCCUCCCAGAAACUUUUGAGCUAUUUUUGAACAAAAAAAAAUUAGCGGUAGAAUACGUUAUUGUAUAUUUUUUUCGAGUCGAAUAUUAAAUUCCAAAAAUAAGAAUGACAUCAAGAUUGAAGCGAAACAUCACAUGAAGUUCAAUGUAGAAUUACACACCUAAUAAUGGUCGUAUAGUCUCCAUAUUUCAGAGUGAUUCUAAUUUUUGAUUGUCAAUCAUCCAUCAAAUUAAAUUUAAUAACUUUUAAAUCAACCGCCAGCACAUAUGGAUUAUUUUCCUCAUUGAUUCAAUGUUGCUUAAGUGUAGCAAAUCUAUUUGAUUCUAACUCAUCCAAGACAUAAAAGGUUCUUUCAAUACAUAUGUAUGUAAAUGGGCUAUGUUAUAUUCACUUGGUUGAACAAAGUACG